UCCGGUUUGUCACCGGCAGUCUCCCAUGAGUCCCCGACAUUACUCGCUGGCAACAUGGGACAGGGGUUCCGCUCGUUGCGGGACUUAACCCAACACCUCACGGCACGAGCUGACGACAGCCAUGCACCACCUGUGAAGGUGCCCCGAAGGGAGACCGUGUUUCCACGGCUGUCACCAACAUGUCAAGCCCAGGUAAGGUUCCUCGCGUAUCAUCGAAUUAAACCACAUGCUCCUCCGCUUGUGCGGGCCCCCGUCAAUUCCUUUGAGUUUCAACCUUGCGAUCGUACUCCCCAGGUGGAUUACUUAACGCUUCCGCUAGGACGCGUGCUGUAUAUCGCACACAUCGAGUAAUCAUCGUUUAAGGCGUGGAUUAC
rnacentral:misc_RNA from 1 species